rnacentral:rRNA from 1 species
UACGUAGGGUGCAAGCGUUAUCCGGAAUUAUUGGGCGUAAAGAGCUCGUAGGCGGUUUGUCGCGUCUGCUGUGAAAACCCGAGGCUCAACCUCGGGCCUGCAGUGGGUACGGGCAGACUAGAGUGCGGUAGGGGAGAUUGGAAUUCCUGGUGUAGCGGUGGAAUGCGCAGAUAUCAGGAGGAACACCGAUGGCGAAGGCAGAUCUCUGGGCCGUAACUGACGCUGAGGGGCGAAAGCGUGGGGAGCGAACGGG